UACGUAGGGGGCUAGCGUUGUUCGGAAUUACUGGGCGUAAGGCGCACGUAGGCGGCUUGGUAAGUUAGAGGUGAAAGCCUGGAGCUCAACUCCAGAAUUGCCUUUAAGACUGCCGAGCUAGCAGGUGAGAGAGGUGAGUGGAAUUCCGAGUGUAGAGGUGAAAUUCGUAGAUAUUCGCAAGAACACCAGUGGCGAAGGCGGCUCACUGGCUCGGUACUGACGCUGAGGUGCGAAAGCGUGGGGAGCAAACAGG
rnacentral:rRNA from 1 species